rnacentral:tRNA from 1 species
GCCUUUUUGGUGUAACGGUAACACACUCGGCGGGUAUUCGAGAGGUCCAGGUUCGAGUCCCGACGAGGGCA